rnacentral:rRNA from 1 species
AGGGGGGGGGGGCUAUAAUGCAAGUCGAGCGCGGGAAGCGAGUGGAUCCCUUCGGGGUGAAGCUCGUGGAACGAGCGGCGGACGGGUGAGUAACACGUGGGCAACCUGCCUGUAAGACCGGAAUAACCCCGGGAAACCGGGGCUAAUGCCGGGUAAUACUUUUCUUCGCAUGAAGGAAAGUUGAAAGAUGGCUUCUUGCUAUCACUUACAGAUGGGCCCGCGGCGCAUUAGCUAGUUGGUGAGGUAACGGCUCACCAAGGCGACGAUGCGUAGCCGACCUGAGAGGGUGAUCGGCCACACUGGGACUGAGACACGGCCCAGACUCCUACGGGAGGCAGCAGUAGGGAAUCUUCCGCAAUGGACGAAAGUCUGACGGAGCAACGCCGCGUGAACGAUGAAGGUCUUCGGAUCGUAAAGUUCUGUUGUUAGGGAAGAACAAGUACCGUGCGAAUAGAGCGGUACCUUGACGGUACCUAACGAGGAAGCCCCGGCUAACUACGUGCCAGCAGCCGCGGUAAUACGUAGGGGGCAAGCGUUGUCCGGAAUUAUUGGGCGUAAAGCGCGCGCAGGCGGUUCCUUAAGUCUGAUGUGAAAGCCCACGGCUCAACCGUGGAGGGUCAUUGGAAACUGGGGAACUUGAGGACAGAAGAGGAGAGUGGAAUUCCACGUGUAGCGGUGAAAUGCGUAGAUAUGUGGAGGAACACCAGUGGCGAAGGCGACUCUCUGGUCUGUUUCUGACGCUGAGGUGCGAAAGCGUGGGUAGCAAACAGGAUUAGAUACCCUGGUAGUCCACGCCGUAA